CUGCAGCCAGGUGGAUCUGCGCUGGCAAACAAAACACUGCCAUGUGCCCGCAGGAACACUCACCUGAAGCCAUCCAUAGCCAUCUUCGCGUCAUCCCUGAGUUGGGACACGUCACCCCAAGUAUCAGCACCAGGCAAGAGGACCUAGAGACCCUGCUAGCCUUGGAAAGGGCUGAUAUCAUAGCCGAAUACCAUCAGCUGAGGCCCAGACAAGUACCAUAGAUGCUAGAGAACCCACUAGAGGUGGGGACCCCUCCUGCAAGGGCAGGUGAAUCCCAGGAAUGGAUCAGAGGCAAGCAUGACAGGUCAGUCCAUUGAAGAACCAUAGUCACCAGGAACAUAUGAG
rnacentral:lncRNA from 1 species